AAAGACCAAAGUGCCCUGGAAAGAUGAACCAUCCUAUGGAGAACAGCAGUCCUGGAGAAUGACUGUGUCUGCCGUGGACUUUUUGCAUGAAAAAAGAAAUGCAGCCUUCCUGGGACCACCAUGCUGUGAGAAUGUCAGGCUGCAUGACAGGCCCUGGAGGAUACAACACUACCUGGGAAGGAAGAGACCAAGGAAUGUUAAAUGUGCCGGACAUUUGAGUACAAAGUCCUUUGGGUAGUGGGUCCUCCGUCUAGAACAGAGAUAAACCAUUCAGCCAAGCCCUCCACACAUUCCUCACCUGCAAAAUCAUGAGCAAAAUAAAUGGUGGUUUUAAACCAUUCAGUAUUGGGGCAUUUUGUUUCCUAGCUACAGAUCACCAGACGCUGAAUAAUAAAUAUUUUACAGUGACCAA